rnacentral:rRNA from 1 species
ACGCUCGACACCUACGGAGGCAGCAGUGGGGAAUAUUGCACAAUGGGGGAAACCCUGAUGCAGCGACGCCGCGUGAGCGAAGAAGUAUUUCGGUAUGUAAAGCUCUAUCAGCAGGGAAGAAACUGACGGUACCUGACUAAGAAGCACCGGCUAAAUACGUGCCAGAGCCGCGGUAAUCUGAGCGGGCUGGCAAGGC